UAAACUACCCAGCUCAGUAUAUACAUCUUCCCUCUAGAGAGUCGGUUCAGCCGGGGUGAAGCUCGGCCGCUGCUCUGCGGAUCUGCUGGCUCCUGCGAAUUCCCCAGAUGUGGGAAUCUCGACUGCAUAAUUUCUGGUAGCGGGGGACUGCAUUCAUGCUCUCCCCCA